GACGAACGCUGGCGGCGCGCUUAACACAUGCAAGUCGAACGGAAAGGCCUGCUUUCCCUUGUGGAUUGCGGGUACUCGAGUGGCGAACGGGUGAGUAACACGUGAGUGAUCUGCCCCCAACUUGGGUAUAAGCCUGGGAAACUGGGUCUAAUUCCCGAUAGGACUGCAGGGUGGUGCCUGUGGUGGAAAACGAUUUUCUAGUGGUUGGGGAUGAGCUCGCGGCCUAUCAGCUUGUUGGUGGGGUAAUGGCCUACCAAGGCGGCGACGGGUAGCCGGCCUGAGAGGGUGGACGGCCACAUUGGAACUGAGAUACGGCCCAGACUCCUACGGGAGGCAGCAGUGGGGAAUAUUGCACAAUGGGCGGAAGCCUGAUGCAGCGACGCCGCGUGGGGGAUGACGGCCUUCGGGUUGUAAACUCCUUUCGACCGCGAGGAAGCCACCUGGUUGGAAGGGUGGUGACGGUAGUGGUAGAAGAAGCACCGGCUAACUACGUG
rnacentral:rRNA from 1 species